GAGAGUGCAGGAUCCUGGGCUGUGUCCCCCCGCGCCCUGGGAUCCGGGGCCUGUGCUGCUGGAAUCGCGCUCCCGGGCCGAGGCUCGC
rnacentral:pre_miRNA from 1 species